AAUCAAAGCCAGUAUUUAUUUACAGUUCACAGAUUACAGGCUAGUUCCCAGCUUGGGGAAAAUCGUCUAAUAUAUUACAAAAGCUGUAGACUCUACGUGGCCUACUCAGCCACCAACUCCACUCAACAUAUAUCUAUGAGACCUACGUACUAGCCAAGUGCACCACUACUCUUUUUCUCACUAACUCCACUCAAAUAUUUAUUUGUUUGGCACCAAAUAAGUGGGCUGUCACCUUUUCCACCGAAAGCCAUGCAUUUCACUUAUUAAAGCACCACCAACUCUCCUCCACUUACUCUCAACUCCAGCAGGGAGCACAACAUUCUCUAUCAUUUUCCUGUCACCAAGAGGUCUCUCCAAAGAGCAGAGAAGCCCCCACUUCGUUCAGCCAAGUUCUCAAGUUCAGUUCCAACCCAUUUAAUACCUUAAGAAAUCGAAGAAGCAAGAGGGAGUAUUCAUUCACUGCUGUGCCAAACUUUAAGUUCAGCCCAAAUCAUUCCAGUUCGUUAAGCUCAACGACAAACAGCCAACCAACAUUCGUUCUCAAGGUAUAAUUCUAUUUCAGAUACCCAUUCCAGAAAGCAUUCAUAUCAAAGCAUGAUCAUGAGUAGUUUCACAAGGAGAUACGACGUAUAAGCAUUUUGAACUUAGUAAACACCCCAACUAUGCUUUCAUGAACAAGUGACAGUUUAUAUGAAAUUUUAAACGAGCAAAAUUUGAGAUGUAAGCAAAA